AAACCAACAGGGAUUGCCCCAGUAACGGCGAGUGAAGCGGCAGCAGCUCAAAUUUGAAAUCUGGCUCUCGGGCCCGAGUUGUAAUUUGUAGAGGAUGCUUUUGGUGAGGUGCCUUCCGAGUUCCCUGGAACGGGACGCCAUAGAGGGUGAGAGCCCCGUCUGGUUGGACGCCGAACCUCUGUAAAGCUCCUUCGACGAGUCGAGUAGUUUGGGAAUGCUGCUCUAAAUGGGAGGUAUAUGUCUUCUAAAGCUAAAUACCGGCCAGAGACCGAUAGCGCACAAGUAGAGUGAUCGAAAGAUGAAAAGAACUUUGAAAAGAGAGUUAAACAGUACGUGAAAUUGUUGAAAGGGAAGCGCUUGUGACCAGACUUGGGCUUGGUUGAUCAUCCGGGGUUCUCCCCGGUGCACUCUUCCGGCCCAGGCCAGCAUCAGUUCGCCCUGGGGGACAAAGGCAUCGGGAACGUGGCUCUCUCCGGGGAGUGUUAUAGCCCGUUGCGUAAUACCCUGCGGCGGACUGAGGUUCGCGCAUUCGCAAGGAUGCUGGCGUAAUGGUCAUCAGUGAC
rnacentral:rRNA from 1 species